rnacentral:lncRNA from 1 species
UCUACAGAGUCUACAGGGAAUAGCUCAGCUUCAAGCUAAACUAACCACUUCACAAUAACCAUAUGGUCCCAUAACUCAACAAUCUGAACUGCAUGGAUUCAGAAUCAUUCUCAUUUGUUGUAAAGCUUUGUUAGUUAAUAUGCCUAUAUUUCUCCUUCAGUCAUCUGCCCAUGGGACGCCAUGCUUGGCCCAGAGAUAGUAUGCUCCAACUGGUCCUCGUCCACCAAAUUCAUACAACUCCGGAGCUGUGUGGUGCUUGUCUAUUUCUUCUAGGACCGGACUCAGAAUGUCCCAUGCUGCUGCAACCUCAUCGCUUCUCAUGAACAGAUGAUUGUCACCAUCAAUUACAUCAUGGAUUAGGUGUUCGUAUGAGUCUGGUAUUUCGGUUUUGUACCUAGAGGUUUGACCCAACAACGCAAAUAACUAUAACGAGUAGAAGUUUGAUUUUCAAAAUGUGUAGGAACACAGAUGAGAAAAGCAAAACUUGCCUGUCUUUAUAGAGCAGGUUAAGUUCAGAAGCGUCUAGCUGAAGACCUAAACCAGGAACCUUGUUAUUAAUUUUCACCAGGAUGGCCUCAUCAGGUUCGUCACGCAGAAUUAGCUCAUUUGUCCCCAAAUCUAUGUUUAUUCCAAUAUUUUCUCGGUAAAGGUUUCCGGGAACAUGCCGGAAUUGCACACGAAUCUCCACUCUUUGAAUAUUAAGGCACACCAAUCAAUUGUAAUGACAAAUGGAUAUUUCCAUGAGCCGGAAUAGUUAUUCUUACCUGUGUUUAAUGAGGCCUGUCCCAACUCUUACCAGGAAAGGUACACCAUCCCAUCGUGCAUUAUCAAUAUACAAGGCUGCAGCGCAAUAUGUAGGGUCUACACCGUUAAAUAUCACACCGUUCUUGUCCUGGGAACUAGAUUUAUACUGACCAAGGAUGACAUCACGCGGGUCUAGUUUGCGAAUUGAUCUCAAAACCUUCACCUGAAGAAGCAUUUUUGUCACAAGGUCACUUGACAGAAUAUGAGUACACAACUUCGAUAUAUAUAUAGAUAUCACAAGACAAUUCUGUUAUUUGCUAGUGCAGGUUGACCUUUUCAUUCCGGAUAUCUUCACCAUCGAGACUUAUCGGAGGUUCCAUGGUAAGUAAUGCGAUUGUCUGAAGUAUAUGGCUGUGCACUAUGUCCCGUAUUAUUCCAUAUCCAUCAGAAUACCUUCAAAAAAUGCAGUAGGAAAUUAGGUACUGAAACCAUAUCUUUCUUUAUAGAACUAUUGUGCCUUACUUUUCGUUUUGCGCAAUUGAUUCUGAUACAAUAACCUGGAAACAUAGGUUAUAGACAAAGUGAACAGACCAGAAUGUGGAGGAGGAAAGUCCAGGCACUAUACACAACUAUAAACAUCUACCUGUAUAUUGCGUAUGUAUGUUCUGUUCCAUAGUGGUUCAAAAACUAAAUUUGAAAACCUUAACACUGUCAGAUUUUCAAUGAGGUUCCUUCCUAACAUGUGAUCUAUCCUGCAACGGGCACAUACACUGUGAAUAAAGAUGAACUCGGAGAGCUGUGCAUGCAGAAAGCUACUAGAUUAAAAAGAAGGACCUGUAGAUUUGCUUCUCUUCAAACUUAGAGAGAAGUGACUUUGUCA